AACGAACGCUGGCGGCGUGCCUAACACAUGCAAGUCGUGCGAGAAAGUUCCUUCGGGAGCGAGUAAAGCGGCGCACGGGUGAGUAACACGUAGGUAACCUGCCCCCCAGUCUGGAACAACUAGAGGAAACUCUAGCUAAUGCCGGAUGAGACCACGAUCCCUUCGGGGGUUGCGGCCAAAGAUGGCCUCUACUUGUAAGCUAUCGCUGAGGGAUGGGCCUGCGGCCAUUAGCUUGUUGGUGAGGUAACGGCUCACCAAGGCUGUGAUGGCUAGCUGGUCUGAGAGGAUGACCAGCCACACUGGGACUGAGACACGGCCCAGACUCCUACGGGAGCAGCAGUGGGGAAUAUUGCGCAAUGGGCGAAAGCCUGACGCAGCGACGCCGCGUGGGUGAUGAAGGCC
rnacentral:rRNA from 1 species